rnacentral:misc_RNA from 1 species
CAAAUUACAUGUAAAUAAGGGUAUUUAUAAAUAUUAAUCUCCUAAACCUAAUAGGAAUGUAAAACUACUAAAUAGGAAUUUUAGAUAAACGAAAAUACAAUAAGAAGAUAUAAACUAAAUAGGAAAACUAAAUCCUCUGAAAGUCUUCACAAGACGUCCUAGAUAAAUUAGGAUUGUUGAAAAUUAAAAUUAGUUAAAAAAAAAAGUUCUGCCUUAUUGUCCAGACCUCGCAUCAUACUCUCCCACUUGAAAAAAAGAAAAAAAAAAAAAACUCGUCAUCGAGUUG